UCCGUAGGCGGGCAAUUAAGUCAGAGGUGAAAUCCCACAGCUCAACUGUGGAACUGCCUUUGAUACUGGUUAUCUUGAGUUACAGUGAAGUAGAUAGAAUAUGUAGUGUAGCGGUGAAAUGCAUAGAUAUUACAUAGAAUACCGAUUGCGAAGGCAGUCUACUAACUGUAUACUGACGCUAAUGGACGAAAGCGUGGGGAGCGAACAGGAUUAGAUACCCUGGUAGUCC
rnacentral:rRNA from 1 species